GAGUUUGAUCGUGGCUCAGGAUGAACGCUGGCGGCGUGCCUAAUACAUGCAAGUCGAGCGAACAGACGAGGAGCUUGCUCCUCUGACGUUAGCGGCGGACGGGUGAGUAACACGUGGAUAACCUACCUAUAAGACUGGGAUAACUUCGGGAAACCGGAGCUAAUACCGGAUAAUAUAUUGAACCGCAUGGUUCAAUAGUGAAAGACGGUUUUGCUGUCACUUAUAGAUGGAUCCGCGCCGCAUUAGCUAGUUGGUAAGGUAACGGCUUACCAAGGCAACGAUGCGUAGCCGACCUGAGAGGGUGAUCGGCCACACUGGAACUGAGACACGGUCCAGACUCCUACGGGAGGCAGCAGUAGGGAAUCUUCCGCAAUGGGCGAAAGCCUGACGGAGCAACGCCGCGUGAGUGAUGAAGGUCUUCGGAUCGUAAAACUCUGUUAUUAGGGAAGAACAAAUGUGUAAGUAACUAUGCACGUCUUGACGGUACCUAAUCAGAAAGCCACGGCUAACUACGUGCC
rnacentral:rRNA from 1 species